rnacentral:lncRNA from 1 species
UAAGAGAUAAAGUGAAAAAACAAAUAAUUCAAUAUAAUACAUGUCAAAAUACACUAUACUGAAGUAUACAUUUUUCUAUCUUUGAAAUUAUUUAUUAUAUAGAAAAGGGUCGGAUUGAGAGUCCCUCCUUUUAUACAUAAACUAGAAAAUAGAACCGCGCUUCACGCAGCUUUGAAAAAGAAUUUAGUAUUAUCCUUUUUUCUUACUUUACACUUGAUAAAACUGAUAAAAAAUAUGAAUUGAUUUUUUUUAAGAUCUUAUAAAAAAUAAAAAAAGCUAUUAGCCAGCAAUACAAAUAAAGAAGCAACGCAAGAUAAAAAUAAAAUGAAAGAAUAUAUUAUAGAGUGAUUUUAUUCAUUCCAAUUGUGUGUGUAUAAAACAAAAAGAUGAGCUCUCCUUUUAUAGUUACAUAAUCACUCCAUGAAAUUAAUGAAAAAUUAUGGAUCAUAAUUCCUUGUGAGAUAGUGUGAGUUAUAGGGAAGCUAAAGGUUGCUAAUGGGAGAUAGUGGGGAGACUAAGAGAUAUAUGUUAUGAACAUCUACAUUUAUUUUAGUAAAUUCAUAAUAUUCUCCCUUGGAUGUUCAUUACAAAGAAUGUGCCUCAUUAAAAUCUUUACAUAAUUGUUAUUGUGUAAUAACAAUCAAAUUAAUUAUGAGAAGAUGAAAAGCCAAAUCUAAAAGAAAAUUUCUCUAUUUAUUAGAUAAUAGAGAAUAUAAAAAUAUGAGAAAUAGUGAUGCCACAUCACUUCCUCAAGUCCCAGCUUUAUAUAUAUACUAGAAAAUAGAACCGCGCUUCACGCGGCUUUGAAAAAAGAAUUUAAUAUUAUCCUUUUUUCUUAUUUUACACUUGAUGAAACUGAAAAAAAAUAUGAAUUAUUUUUUUUAAAGAUGAGGCAACCUUAUAAAAAACAAAAAAAAAGAUAUUAGCCAGCAAUACAAAUAAAGAAACAACGCAAGAUAAAAAAUAAAAUGAGAGAAUAUAUUAUAGAGUGAUUUUAUUCAUUCCAAUUGUGUGUGUAUAAAACAAAAAGAUGAGCUCUCCUUUUAUAGUUACAUAAUCACUCCAUGAUAUUAAUGAAAAAUUAUGGAUCAUAAUUCCUUGUGAAAUAGUAGGAGUUAUAGAGAAGCUAAAGGUUACUAAUGGGAGAUAGUGUAGAGACUAAGAGAUAUAUGUUAUGAAUAUCAACAUUUAUUUUAAUAAAUGUAUAACACUCCCCCUUGGAUGUUUAUUACAAAGAACAUGCCUCAUGAAAACGUUUACAUAAUUGUUAUUGUAUAAUAACAAUUAAAUUAAUUAUAAGAAGAUGAAACGUCAAAUCUAAAAAAAAAUUUCUCUAUUUAUUAGAUAAUAGAAAAUAUAAAAAGAUGAGAAAUAGUGAUGACACAUCACCUCUUGUAGUCCCAACUUUAUAUAUAUUUAUAUAGAAGCUAUUAGCCAGCAACAAAAAUAAAGAAGAAACGCAAGAUAAAGAAUAAAAUGAGAGAAUAUAUUAUAGAGUGAUUUUAUUCAUUCCAAUUGUGUGUGUACAAAACAAAAAGAUGAGCUCUCCUUUUAUAGUUACAUAAUCACUCCAUGAAAUUAAUGAAAAAUUAUGGAUCAUAAUUUCUUGUGAGAUAGUGGGAGUUAUAGGGAAGCUAAAUGUUGCUAAUGGGAGAUAGUGUGGAGACUAAGAGAUAUAUGUUAUGAACAUCCACAUUUAUUUUAAUAAAUGUAUAACACUGCCCAUUGGAUGCUCAUUACAAAGAAUGUGCCUCAUUAAAACGUUUACAUAAUUGUUAUUGUGUAAUAACAAUUAAAUUAAUUAUAAGAAGAUGAAACGUCAAAUUUAAAAGAAAAUUUCUCUAUUUAUUAGAUAAUAGAAAAUAUAAAAAGAUGAGAAAUAGUGAUGACACAUCACCUCUUGUAGUCCCAACUUUAUAUAUAUAUAUAUAUAUAUAUAUAUAUAAGCUAUUAGCUAGCAACAAAAAUAAAGAAGAAACGCAAGAUAAAGAAUAAAAUGAGAGAAUAUAUUAUAGAGUGAUUUUAUUCAUUCCAAUUGUGUGUGUACAAAACAAAAAGAUGAGCUCUCCUUUUAUAGUUACAUAAUCACUCCAUGAAAUUAAUGAAAAAUUAUGGAUCAUAAUUCCUUGUAAGAUAGUGGGAGUUAUAGGGAAGCUAAAUGUUGCUAAUGGGAGUAGUGUGGAGACUAAGAGAUAUAUGUUAUGAACAUCCACAUUUAUUUUAAUAAAUGUAUAACACUGUCCAUUGGAUGCUCAUUACAAAGAAUGUGCCUCAUUAAAACGUUUAUAUAAUUGUUAUUGUGUAAUAACAAUUAAAUUAAUUAUAAGAAGAUGAAACGUCAAAUCUAAAAGAAAAUUUCUCUAUUUAUUAGAUAAUAGAAAAUAUAAAAAGAUGAGAAAUAGUGAUGACACAUCACCUCUUGUAGUCCCAACUUUAUAUAUAUAUAUAUAUAUAUAUAAGCUAUUAGCUAGCAACAAAAAUAAAGAAGAAACGCAAGAUAAAGAAUAAAAUGAGAGAAUAUAUUAUAGAGUGAUUUUAUUCAUUCCAAUUGUGUGUGUACAAAACAAAAAGAUGAGCUCUCCUUUUAUAGUUACAUAAUCACUCCAUGAAAUUAAUGAAAAAUUAUGGAUCAUAAUUCCUUGUAAGAUAGUGGGAGUUAUAGGGAAGCUAAAUGUUGCUAAUGGGAGAUAGUGUGGAGACUAAGAGAUAUAUAUUAUGAACAUCCACAUUUAUUUUAAUAAAUGUAUAACACUGCCCAUUGGAUGCUCAUUACAAAGAAUGUGCCUCAUUAAAACGUUUACAUAAUUGUUAUUGUGUAAUAACAAUUAAAUUAAUUAUAAGAAGAUGAAACGUCAAAUCUAAAAGAAAAUUUCUCUAUUUAUUAGAUAAUAGA